ensembl:rRNA 5S_rRNA 5S ribosomal RNA
UGCCACAGCCAUAUCACCCUGGAGCCCAAGACUGGUUGCCCACUGAAGCUUACUGAGUCUGGUCAGUAACUGGAUGGGAGACCUCCUGGGAAAACUAGGUUGCUGUUGAAA